GGGUUGUGAGGUUAAGCGACUAAGCGUACACGGUGGAUGCCCUGGCAGUCAGAGGCGAUGAAGGACGUGCUAAUCUGCGAUAAGCGUCGGUAAGGUGAUAUGAACCGUUAUAACCGGCGAUUUCCGAAUGGGGAAACCCAGUGUGAUUCGUCACACUAUCAUUAACUGAAUCCAUAGGUUAAUGAGGCGAACCGGGGGAACUGAAACAUCUAAGUACCCCGAGGAAAAGAAAUCAACCGAGAUUCCCCCAGUAGCGGCGAGCGAACGGGGAGCAGCCCAGAGCCUGAAUCAGUAUGUGUGUUAGUGGAAGCGUCUGGAAAGGCGCGCGAUACAGGGUGACAGCCCCGUACACAAAAAUGCACAUGCUGUGAGCUCGAUGAGUAGGGCGGGACACGUGGUAUCCUGUCUGAAUAUGGGGGGACCAUCCUCCAAGGCUAAAUACUCCUGACUGACCGAUAGUGAACCAGUACCGUGAGGGAAAGGCGAAAAGAACCCCGGCGAGGGGAGUGAAAAAGAACCUGAAACCGUGUACGUACAAGCAGUGGGAGCACAGAGCAAUCUGUGUGACUGCGUACCUUUUGUAUAAUGGGUCAGCGACUUAUAUUCUGUAGCAAGGUUAACCGAAUAGGGGAGCCGAAGGGAAACCGAGUCUUAACUGGGCGUUAAGUUGCAGGGUAUAGACCCGAAACCCGGUGAUCUAGCCAUGGGCAGGUUGAAGGUUGGGUAACACUAACUGGAGGACCGAACCGACUAAUGUUGAAAAAUUAGCGGAUGACUUGUGGCUGGGGGUGAAAGGCCAAUCAAACCGGGAGAUAGCUGGUUCUCCCCGAAAGCUAUUUAGGUAGCGCCUCGUGAAUUCAUCUCCGGGGGUAGAGCACUGUUUCGGCAAGGGGGUCAUCCCGACUUACCAACCCGAUGCAAACUGCGAAUACCGGAGAAUGUUAUCACGGGAGACACACGGCGGGUGCUAACGUCCGUCGUGAAGAGGGAAACAACCCAGACCGCCAGCUAAGGUCCCAAAGUCAUGGUUAAGUGGGAAACGAUGUGGGAAGGCCCAGACAGCCAGGAUGUUGGCUUAGAAGCAGCCAUCAUUUAAAGAAAGCGUAAUAGCUCACUGGUCGAGUCGGCCUGCGCGGAAGAUGUAACGGGGCUAAACCAUGCACCGAAGCUGCGGCAGCGACGCUUAUGCGUUGUUGGGUAGGGGAGCGUUCUGUAAGCCUGUGAAGGUGUGCUGUGAGGCAUGCUGGAGGUAUCAGAAGUGCGAAUGCUGACAUAAGUAACGAUAAAGCGGGUGAAAAGCCCGCUCGCCGGAAGACCAAGGGUUCCUGUCCAACGUUAAUCGGGGCAGGGUGAGUCGACCCCUAAGGCGAGGCCGAAAGGCGUAGUCGAUGGGAAACAGGUUAAUAUUCCUGUACUUGGUGUUACUGCGAAGGGGGGACGGAGAAGGCUAUGUUGGCCGGGCGACGGUUGUCCCGGUUUAAGCGUGUAGGCUGGUUUUCCAGGCAAAUCCGGAAAAUCAAGGCUGAGGCGUGAUGACGAGGCACUACGGUGCUGAAGCAACAAAUGCCCUGCUUCCAGGAAAAGCCUCUAAGCAUCAGGUAACAUCAAAUCGUACCCCAAACCGACACAGGUGGUCAGGUAGAGAAUACCAAGGCGCUUGAGAGAACUCGGGUGAAGGAACUAGGCAAAAUGGUGCCGUAACUUCGGGAGAAGGCACGCUGAUAUGUAGGUGAAGCGACUUGCUCGUGGAGCUGAAAUCAGUCGAAGAUACCAGCUGGCUGCAACUGUUUAUUAAAAACACAGCACUGUGCAAACACGAAAGUGGACGUAUACGGUGUGACGCCUGCCCGGUGCCGGAAGGUUAAUUGAUGGGGUCAGCGCAAGCGAAGCUCUUGAUCGAAGCCCCGGUAAACGGCGGCCGUAACUAUAACGGUCCUAAGGUAGCGAAAUUCCUUGUCGGGUAAGUUCCGACCUGCACGAAUGGCGUAAUGAUGGCCAGGCUGUCUCCACCCGAGACUCAGUGAAAUUGAACUCGCUGUGAAGAUGCAGUGUACCCGCGGCAAGACGGAAAGACCCCGUGAACCUUUACUAUAGCUUGACACUGAACAUUGAGCCUUGAUGUGUAGGAUAGGUGGGAGGCUUUGAAGUGUGGACGCCAGUCUGCAUGGAGCCGACCUUGAAAUACCACCCUUUAAUGUUUGAUGUUCUAACGUUGACCCGUAAUCCGGGUUGCGGACAGUGUCUGGUGGGUAGUUUGACUGGGGCGGUCUCCUCCUAAAGAGUAACGGAGGAGCACGAAGGUUGGCUAAUCCUGGUCGGACAUCAGGAGGUUAGUGCAAUGGCAUAAGCCAGCUUGACUGCGAGCGUGACGGCGCGAGCAGGUGCGAAAGCAGGUCAUAGUGAUCCGGUGGUUCUGAAUGGAAGGGCCAUCGCUCAACGGAUAAAAGGUACUCCGGGGAUAACAGGCUGAUACCGCCCAAGAGUUCAUAUCGACGGCGGUGUUUGGCACCUCGAUGUCGGCUCAUCACAUCCUGGGGCUGAAGUAGGUCCCAAGGGUAUGGCUGUUCGCCAUUUAAAGUGGUACGCGAGCUGGGUUUAGAACGUCGUGAGACAGUUCGGUCCCUAUCUGCCGUGGGCGCUGGAGAACUGAGGGGGGCUGCUCCUAGUACGAGAGGACCGGAGUGGACGCAUCACUGGUGUUCGGGUUGUCAUGCCAAUGGCACUGCCCGGUAGCUAAAUGCGGAAGAGAUAAGUGCUGAAAGCAUCUAAGCACGAAACUUGCCCCGAGAUGAGUUCUCCCUGACCCUUUAAGGGUCCUGAAGGAACGUUGAAGACGACGACGUUGAUAGGCCGGGUGUGUAAGCGCAGCGAUGCGUUGAGCUAACCGGUACUAAUGAACCGUGAGGCUUAACCUUACAACGCCGAAGGUGUUU
rnacentral:rRNA from 1 species